UGGAUUUGACUCCUACACCGACUCUACAGCGCAGCGAUGAUGAACUUCGGGGGAGGAGCCGAGCCUCAGCACCCGGAUGUGGAUCCCGAGCCCGGAUGGAGCGGACUGUACGACCCCUGGAACGAAGCUGUGGAUUUGCUGAGAGAAUCGUCAGAUACUCCCUCAGUCCUCCAGGUUGUUGAGCCAAUCCUGCCGCAGCUACCCACAGAAACUCACUCCACAUCUUCAGCUGUUGUUCUG